AGUGAACGCUGGCGGUAGGCCUAACACAUGCAAGUCGAACGGCAGCACAGUAAGAGCUUGCUCUUACGGGUGGCGAGUGGCGGACGGGUGAGGAAUACAUCGGAAUCUACUUUUUCGUGGGGGAUAACGUAGGGAAACUUACGCUAAUACCGCAUACGACCUACGGGUGAAAGCAGGGGAUCUUCGGACCUUGCGCGAUUGAAUGAGCCGAUGUCGGAUUAGCUAGUUGGCGGGGUAAAGGCCCACCAAGGCGACGAUCCGUAGCUGGUCUGAGAGGAUGGUCAGCCACACUGGAACUGAGACACGGUCCAGACUCCUACGGGAGGCAGCAGUGGGGAAUAUUGGACAAUGGGCGCAAGCCUGAUCCAGCCAUACCGCGUGGGUGAAGAAGGCCUUCGGGUUGUAAAGCCCUUUUGUUGGGAAAGAAAGGCAGCAGGUUAAUACCCCGCUGUUCUGACGGUACCCAAAGAAUAAGCACCGGCUAACUUCGUG
rnacentral:rRNA from 1 species